rnacentral:rRNA from 1 species
UACGGAGGGUGCGAGCGUUGUUCGGAAUCAUUGGGCGUAAAGGGCGUGUAGGCGGCUGGGUAAGUCUGAUGUGAAAGCCCGGGGCUCAACCCUGGAAGUGCAUUGGAGACUGCUCGGCUUGAGUACUGGAGAGGAUGGGGGAAUUCCCGGUGUAGAGGUGAAAUUCGUAGAGAUCGGGAGGAAUACCAGUGGCGAAGGCGCCCAUCUGGACGGAUACUGACGCUGAGACGCGAAAGCGUGGGGAGCAAACAGG